rnacentral:rRNA from 1 species
GAUGAACGCUAGCGGCAGGCUUAAUACAUGCAAGUCGAGGGACAGCACAGGUAGCAAUACUGGGUGGUAACCGGCAAACGGGUGCGGAACACGUACACAACCUUCCUUUAAGUGGGGAAUAGCCCAGUGACAUUUCGAUUAAUACCCCGUAAUAUAGCUGUAUGGCAUCAUUUUAUUAUUAUAGCUAAGGAGCUUUAUGAUGGGUGUGCAGCUGAUUAGAUAGUUGGCGGGGUAACGGCCCACCAAGUCUACGAUCAGUAGCUGAUGUGAGAGCAUGAUCAGCCACACGGGCACCGAGACACGUGCCCGACUCCUACGGGAGGCAGCAGUAAGGAAUAUUGGUCAAUGGACGCAAGUCUGAACCAGCCAUGCCGCGUGAAGGAUUAAGGUCCUCUGGAUUGUAAACUUCUUUUAUUUGGGACGAAAAAGGGCCUUUCUAGGUCAACUGACGGUACCAGAUGAAUAAGCACCGGCUAACUCCGUGCCAGCCGCCGCGGUAACAC